rnacentral:rRNA from 1 species
UACGGAGGUGCGAGCGUUGUCCGGAAUCAUUGGCGUAAAGGGCGCGUAGGUGGCGGGACAAGCGUGCGGUGAAAGCUCGGGGCUCAACCCCGAGUCGGCCGUGCGAACUGUUUUGCUGAGCACUGUAGAGGCAGGCGGAAUUCCGGGUGUAGCGGUGGAAUGCGUAGAGAUCCGGAAGAACACCGGUGGCGAAGGCGGCCUGCUGGGCUA